AUCCUAUAUGGAGAUAUUCCCGGAUAACGAUUCCUCUUAUAAUCCUGCUGGUUCCACUUGCCUUUUAUUGCUGGAAGAAGAGGAGCACAUCUCCACCCAAGGAACAAUCUCAGCUUGCAGAAAAGAAAGAGGAAGCAGGUGACCUUGGAAUGAUGGAGCCUCCAGCAGCAAGAGCAGCUACACCUUCCCCUGUCAAGGACUCUGAGGUCACCUACUGCAACAUCCCGGACUUCUUCACUCCGUCUUCUCCUGGACGAACCAGGAAGAAUCUUCUUACUCAAGAGAAAACAGGGAAGACAUUGUACUGUAACCUUAAUGUGUCUCAACUCAAAAAGAAGCAGCAAAAUCAUCCCUGAUUGCAGCAAAUUGUGCCUCUCUUGGUCCAGUCCCUUAUUAGGCCUAAACAUGGACAUCACCCUUGAAGAGAUGAUGAGGGGCAACUGAGCUUCAGUUUACGGCAGAAGAGAAAACCCAUCAAAUAGGGAAAAAUCCUGGGCAUAAUCUUAUUCUAGGAGUCUGUCAGGGAAUUGCGCAGCCGGUGUUCCAAAUGGAGUCAGAGACGCUGACACAAACUUGUAGUUUUAUAUAAAUAAAUAUAUUUUUCAACUACAGGUAGUACUUGACUUACAACAGGUCGUUUAGUGACCAUCU